AGUGUUUAGGAGGCGAUCAACGAUCACCUCCUAAACUUAAAUGGUGUCGCUGGAAUGCCUCGAUCAGGAGGCAUCCAGCGACACCAAACGCUUACCUCUGGAUGGACUGUGACCGCUCCGGAGAGCGGUCACAGCCGCCGCUGCCGGUGCUCUUCACCAUCAGCAAGAUGGCGGCCGCCCUGUAAAAAAAAAACAAUCAAGUUUUAAAGGUUCGCUAGAUGGUCUCCAGACCCUCUAGAGAACUCUGGCUCCACUUGCAGGUUGAAUACAGGUACUGCAUUCAACCAUGCAAGUCAAUGGAGCCCAGCUUUCUAAUCACAAUGUGAUUAGUAAAAUAUUAAAAAAAUAAUAAUGAAAAAAAAAUUAAAAAAUGUGCUAACAUUUAAAAAUAAUUAUGCAGUGAUGUCACUAGAGGAACCAUCCAGUACCAGCAAAAUGUGUAAAAAAAUAUAAAAAAAAAUUUAUUAUUUUGAGCAAGUGCUAAAAUUUCUCAAAAAUCUCAACAAAGAGUUAAAAUAAAAGCACUUCAAAUACCCAAGGGGUGUCUAAAUGGCUGAUGGGGUAAAUUGGAGUGGCCGAGCUCAAAGAUAGGGCAUAGGUACAGACUGACCAAAAUGGAGAAAAAAGCGCACUUCCCAAAUGUGGCAUUUUAAAUCUCAAACAACAUGACAAACCCAUGCAUGUGGGGUAUCACUGCACUCAGGAGAUGUUCCUGAACACACAUUGGGGUGUUGUUUGACAGUGACAUAUACCAGCACCUGUAUAUCUAUAACUAAAGUACAAUUUGUGUGAAAAAGAAAAAUGACUAUUACAAAGUUUGACAAAGUGUGGUUGUAUAAUGGGUGCAUGGAAAGGGUUAAAAUAACAGCAUUUGAAAUACCCUGGGGUGUCUAGUUUUCAAAAAUAUAUGGUUUGACGGGGUUAAACUGAGUUAACCGGCUUCAAAGAUAUUCCAAAGAGGAGAUGGAGGCAGAAUGACCAAAUGACCACCUGAAUUACGCAUGCCCCAAAAGUAGCCCUUUACCAGCCAAACAAUCUGACAAACCCAUGCAUGUGGGGUAUCUCUGUACUCAGGAGAUGUUCCUGAACACACAUUGGGGUGUUGUUUGACAGUGACAUAUACCAAAACCUGUAUAUCUAUAACUAAAGUACAAUUUGUGUGGAAAAAAAAAUAAAAAAAAUUACUAUUACAAAGUUUGACAAAGUGUGGUUGUAUAACUGUUGCAUGGAAAGGGUUAAAAUAACAGCAUUUGAAAUACCCUGGGGUGUCUAGUUUUCAAAAAUAUAUGGUUUGACGGGGUUAAAUUGAGUUAACCGGCUUCAAAGAUGUUCCAAAGAGGAGAUGGAGGCAGACUGACCAGAUUUGUUAAAAAAGGUUUGGAAAUCAUAAAACGCUGCUUGUACUUAUUG